AACGAACGCUGGCGGCAUGCCUAACACAUGCAAGUCGAACGAGACCUUCGGGUCUAGUGGCGCACGGGUGCGUAACGCGUGGGAACCUGCCCUUAGGUUCGGAAUAACUCCCCGAAAGGGGUGCUAAUACCGGAUAAUGUCUUCGGACCAAAGAUUUAUCGCCUUUGGAUGGGCCCGCGUUUGAUUAGCUUGUUGGUAGGGAAAAAGCCUAUCAAGGCGACGAUCCAUAGCUGGUCUGAGAGGAUGAUCAGCCACACUGGGACUGAGACACGGCCCAGACUCCUACGGGAGGCAGCAGUGGGGAAUAUUGGACACUGGGCGAUAGCCUGAUCCAGCAAUUCCGCGUGAGUGAUGAAGGCCUUAGGGUUGUAAAGCUCUUUUACCCUGGAUGAUAAUGACAGUACCGGGAGAAUAAGCUCCGUCUAACUCCGUG
rnacentral:rRNA from 1 species